rnacentral:rRNA from 1 species
UACGGGGGGAGCAAGCGUUGUUCGGAUUUACUGGGCGUAAAGGGCGCGUAGGCGGCGUGGUAAGUCACUUGUGAAAUCUCCGAGCUUAACUCGGAACGGUCAAGUGAUACUGCUGUGCUAGAGUGCGGAAGGGGCAACUUGAAUUCUCGGUGUAGCGGUGAAAUGCGUAGAUAUCGAGAGGAACACCUGCGGCGAAGGCGGGUAGCUGGGCCGACACUGACGCUGAGGCGCGAAAGCUAGGGGAGCGAACGGG